GACGAACUGCCCAAACGUUGUUCGGAAUCACUGGGCGUAAAGCGCACGUAGGCGGCUUGUUAAGUCAGGGGUGAAAUCCUGGAGCUCAACUCCAGAACUGCCUUUGAUACUGGCGAGCUUGAGUUCGGGAGAGGUGAGUGGAACUGCGAGUGUAGAGGUGAAAUUCGUAGAUAUUCGCAAGAACACCAGUGGCGAAGGCGGCUCACUGGCCCGAUACUGACGCUGAGGUGCGAAAGCGUGGGGAGCAAACAGG
rnacentral:rRNA from 1 species